GAGUUUACCAGCAACAGAUUGGUCCUUCAAGAUCUCGUAAUUCAAACCAUUCACAAUUACACAUGGUUCAAUUCGAGAUUUCACACUUACCAUUCGAGCAAGAAGCACAAGCAUUUCGGCUACUGAUUACCACAUACCUGAGAAUUCUGCCGUCAGACUGGUUUGAUGCAAAUGAUUUUUCUUCGGUACGCCACUGACCUGUAUAAGGGAUUUUGGUAUUGGCUGUCAUCUUUGGAGUGGUUACUCUUGUUAUCGGUGGCUAUGCUCAAUUGAAGCGUUUUACGGAUUUGUAUUUGCAUAUAAUCACUACGAGAAUAAUUCCCCAUAAGAAAGCCUUACUGAAAAAAUGAGGCGGCCUGGUGUUUUUAAAUUAAGCUUUGAGCAGUAAUGUUAAUCCGAGUAAUGGUAAUGAGUAAGUUGAAUAUAGUGAUACUAGGUGUUCACAAGGAAAUAAAGUUUCUGAAUUUCAUAGUCAUAUUUUUCGAAAUGGAACUACCACUAUUUUAUUUCGCUGUUCGAUAGUCUUUUGGGGAAGGUAAGGGCAUAACUGGCAUAGCCCUUAGGCGAAAAAAAGUGUAAAUCUGUCUCUGCAUCAACCAGUUCGUUCCAGUUAUGACCAGGUUAAAGUAAGUGAUCCUGACUCAAUUAUGCCGUAAAACGUCGUUGGAUGUUGAAUAGCGAG